AAUCUAAAUAAUCUCCGAGCCCAGUUUGCCUAAAGCGGGAUCGCCAGGGCGUUCGGGCCGACAGGGUACGAUAGGAAACCGUCGUGCCUCCCAUUGCGGAAAGGAGAAUGUAACGAUCGGCU
rnacentral:ncRNA from 2 species